AUUGAACGCUGGCGGCAGGCCUAACACAUGCAAGUCGAGCGAGCGGCGGACGGGUGAGUAAUGUAUGGGGACUGCCCGAUAGAGGGGGAUAACUACUGGAAACGGUGGCUAAUACCGCAUACUAUCGGAUCACCCAUAGGGGAUUAGCUAGUAGGUGGGGUAAAGGCUCCCCUAGGCGACGAUCUCUAGCUGGUCUGAGAGGAUGAUCAUCCAAACUGGGACUGAGAAACGGCACAGACGCCGACGGAGGCAGCAUUGGGGAAUAUUGCACAAUGGGCGCAAGCCUGAUGAAGCCAUGCCGCGUGUAUGAAGAGGGCCUUAGGGUUGUAAAGUACGUUCAGCGGGGAUGCGUUACCCGCAGAAGAAGCACCGGCUAACUCCGUGCCAGCAGCCGCGGUAAUUC
rnacentral:rRNA from 1 species